rnacentral:rRNA from 1 species
GAUGAACGCUGGCGGCGUGCCUAAUACAUGCAAGUCGAGCGAACGGACGAGAAGCUUGCUUCUCUGAUGUUAGCGGCGGACGGGUGAGUAACACGUGGAUAACCUACCUAUAAGACUGGGAUAACUUCGGGAAACCGGAGCUAAUACCGGAUAAUAUUUUGAACCGCAUGGUUCAAAAGUGAAAGACGGUCUUGCUGGCACUUAUAGAUGGAUCUGCGCUGCAUUAGCUAGUUGGUAAGGUAACGGCUUACCAAGGCAACGAGGCGUAGACGACCGGAGAGGGGGAUCGGCCACACUGGAAGUGAGACAGGGUCAAGGCGCCUACGAGAGGCAGCAGUAGGGAACCUGACGCAAUGGGCGAAAGCCUGACGGAGCAACGGCGAGUGAGAUAUAGCAGUGUUGGGAGCGUAAAGCUCUGUUAUUAGGGAAGAACAUAUGUGUCAGUAGCUGUGCACAUCUUGACGGUACCUAAUAAGAAAGCCACGGCUAACUACGUG